rnacentral:rRNA from 1 species
CCUACGGGGGGCUGCAGUGGGGAAUAUUGGACAAUGGGGGGAACCCUGAUCCAGCCAUGCCGCGUGUGUGAAGAAGGCCCUCGGGUUGUAAAGCACUUUCAGUGAGGAAGAACGCCUGGUGGUUAAUACCCAUCAGGAAAGACAUCACUCACAGAAGAAGCACCGGCUAACUCCGUGCCAGCAGCCGCGGUAAUACGGAGGGUGCGAGCGUUAAUCGGAAUUACUGGGCGUAAAGCGCGCGUAGGUGGCUUGAUAAGCCGGUUGUGAAAGCCCCGGGCUCAACCUGGGAACGGCAUCCGGAACUGUCAAGCUAGAGUGCAGGAGAGGAAGGUAGAAUUCCCGGUGUAGCUGUGAAAUGCGUAGAGAUCGGGAGGAAUACCAGUGGCGAAGGCGGCCUUCUGGACUGACACUGACACUGAGGUGCGAAAGCGUGGGUAGCAAACAGGAUUAGAUACCCCAGUAGUC